AGAGUUUGAUCCUGGCUCAGGACGAACGCUGGCGGCGUGCUUAACACAUGCAAGUCGAACGGAGAGCGAUGGAAGCUUGCUUCUAUCAAUCUUAGUGGCGAACGGGUGAGUAACGCGUAACCAACCUGCCCUUCAGAGGGGGAUAACAACGGGAAACCGUUGCUAAUACCGCGUACGAUUAAGCUUCGGCAUCGAAGCUUAAUGAAAGGUGGCCUCUAUGUAUAAGCUAUCGCUGAAGGAGGGGGUUGCGUCUGAUUAGCUAGUUGGAGGGGUAACGGCCCACCAAGGCAAUGAUCAGUAGCCGGUCUGAGAGGAUGAACGGCCACAUUGGGACUGAGACACGGCCCAAACUCCUACGGGAGGCUGCAGUGGGGAAUCUUCCGCAAUGGACGAAAGUCUGACGGAGCAACGCCGCGUGAGUGAUGACGGCCUUCGGGUUGUAAAGCUCUGUUAAUCGGGACGAAUGGUCUUUGUGUGAAUAAUGCAAAGAUUUGACGGUACCGGAAUAGAAAGCCACGGCUAACUACGUGCCAGCAGCCGCGGUAAUACGUAGGUGGCAAGCGUUGUCCGGAAUUAUUGGGCGUAAAGCGCGCGCAGGCGGAUAGGUCAGUCUGUCUUAAAAGUUCGGGGCUUAACCCCGUGAUGGGAUGGAAACUGCCAAUCUAGAGUAUCGGAGAGGAAAGUGGAAUUCCUAGUGUAGCGGUGAAAUGCGUAGAUAUUAGGAAGAACACCAGUGGCGAAGGCGGCUGUCUGGUCUGUAACUGACGCUGAGGCUCGAAAGCGUGGGGAGCGAACAGGAUUAGAUACCCUGGUAGUCCAUGCCGUAAACGAUGAAUGCUAGGUGUUGGAGGGUUUCCGCCCUUCAGUGCCGCAGCUAACGCAUUAAGCAUUCCGCCUGGGGAGUACGACCGCAAGGUUGAAACUCAAAGGAAUUGACGGGGGCCCGCACAAGCAGCGGAGCAUGUGGUUUAAUUCGAAGCAACGCGAAGAACCUUACCAGGUCUUGACAUCCUUUGACCACUCUAGAGAUAGAGCUUCCCCUUCGGGGGCAAAGUGACAGGUGGUGCAUGGUUGUCGUCAGCUCGUGUCGUGAGAUGUUGGGUUAAGUCCCGCAACGAGCGCAACCCUUAUUACUAGUUGCCAGCAUUCAGUUGGGCACUCUAGUGAGACUGCCGGUGACAAACCGGAGGAAGGUGGGGAUGACGUCAAAUCAUCAUGCCCCUUAUGACCUGGGCUACACACGUGCUACAAUGGCGUAUACAACGAGUUGCCAACCCGCGAGGGUGAGCUAAUCUCUUAAAGUACGUCUCAGUUCGGAUUGUAGGCUGCAACUCGCCUACAUGAAGUCGGAAUCGCUAGUAAUCGCGGAUCAGCACGCCGCGGUGAAUACGUUCCCGGGUCUUGCAUUCACCGCCCGUCA
rnacentral:rRNA from 1 species